UCUCUCUCCCUUCCUUUCUUAAACCAAUAAAAUAUAUAUGUACAUUUUUUAAAAGGGUGGGAGGGAAUUUACUAGCUCGUCCCACGGAAACACAUGCAUGUUACAUACAUGCAUGUUCCCAUAUAUUCCCGGCGGCCUCUGCAUUCCAAGGCCAGGCCGGCCUGGGUCCCUCCCCCGCCACAGGUCAGUGCUGGUGAAGUCACCAAGGGUGUCCAAGGUACAAAAGCCCCAGCAGAGCCUGUUGCACAUGCGAGCUCCUCUAUGAACGAUAAAUAACAAUUACCAGGCAAGCCCGGGCAGAGCAGCUCGGGGAGGCUGUACGAAGGGAGAUGCCAGGCUUUCCGGAGGCGGCAACAUCCCUCCCUGUCGGACAGCAAGGACCGUGCCGACGCAUCCCCGCCACCCUCCCUUCCACCCUCGGGUAGUUGCCCCGCGUGGCCCCAGCGCAGGCGGCCCCGGAGCAGAGCCCGUUUGCGAGUGCGGGGCCCGGGCAGGCAUCCCGGGUGAUGCCCGGUCCUGCCCCCGGCCUGCAGGCCAGGACAGAGCCCUGCUCAGCUCGCCCCUCUCCCGGUGACGCGUGUGGCAGGGAGCAAGUGAGGACAGGACCGGGUGGCUGUGCCGGCUCCGCUGAUGUCACUGCACUCAUCACGGGACCGUCAAGUGCUGCGGUGGCAGAGACCGGAUCGCCCAGCCUCGGCCGCUGCUGCGGUGUUUGCGUCGCUGUGUUUUGGUGAAAACUGACGCCCUCGCCCUUCUCCCGACGCCUUGUUUUUGAUCGGAAAAGGCUUUAUUUAUGGAAGUGAUUGAGUGUGAAAAGCAAAGCAGAGGUGCAUCGGAGGGCUGGUUCCCGGGCGCUGUCACGAACGGCCCGCUGAUCAGACGUCCGCCAGGACUAGCUCAAUACACUCUUCUAAGACGGAGACAGCGAGGGUGGGGUGGUCCUGUCCUUUGAGGUCUUGCUGCGUCCAGGCCUGAAAUGCUCUCUCCCCUCCCUUCAGCCGAAACACCCUCUGAGCUCGGGCCCGGCCUCACCCCUCGAGGGAAUCCGGUCUGUCCUAUAAAGUGAUGUAAGUGGC